rnacentral:lncRNA from 1 species
UUUUUGACGUGGCUUGUCGGCACACGCUUCGAUCCUACGUGUCAUUAACGUGGCUUGCCGGCAUAAGUUUCCGGCCGGCGAGCAAAACGCUGCGUUUUGAUCGCCAAGCUUUCUCUCUCCCUCCGCCCCUCAACCACUUUCUCCCUCUAGCAGCCACCAUCAUCUUCCCCCUCACCUCCACCAUGCUACGUCGCCGGCAAAGACUCCAUCGCACUCACAGUCGCCCACUCCGACGCCGACCUCCGCGGCCUCAUCGCCAACCACCCCAAAAACGCCGACAAUCUUUGCUAUCUCGUCCCAAGCUCUUCCACCGCCAAGCUCUCUCUCUCUCUCUCUCUUGCCGCCUCUACCACCACUUCUUCCACCGCCCUGCCUUCUCCACCGCCCUGCCUUCCCUCGCUCGCUCCAAUUCGGAACAGCAAAGGGCCCGUAGCCAAUCGGAGCCCUAACUCCCCAAACUCACCGCCUUUGCUCUGAAUCGGGGAGGACGGCGCGACGAUGAAGCUUCCAUUGGCGUCGGAGCUGGAGAAUCGCUGGUGGUGGUAGACUUCGUCUACUCGCUGGAGAGGGCGAAGGACGAGCGGCGAUUGAUUUGCAGAACGCGGCGGCGCUAAACCGAGGGAGGCGAUUUCUGAUUUGGAAAGUUAGGGCUUUCUAUUUCGUUGCUUCUUUUGACUUGAGAGAGAAGCGUAUUAACAGUGAGGGGAACUGAGGCAGCGACUCCGGCGGAAAUUAUGGAAGUGUUGGCGGCAUUUGGAGAAAGGAAAUUAGGGCCGACCUCGCCGGACCGAGACUGAGAGGAAGAACCGACCUCGCCGGACCUCAGAGCGGCGGCAGUAGCAGCCCCUAUCUCUCUCUCUCUCUAGUACAAAAUUAUGACGUGUCUGCCGGAAGACACGUCAUUGCCACGUGGUUAUGCCGGAAAAUAAAUCAGUGCUAAAAUUGAACACGGAGCAAAGGUAGUCAUAUUAAUUGGAACUUUUUAAAGUCGUGCUAAAUUUGGAAUUCGACCUAAGUUCAUGAUAUUACAUGCAUUUAACCCUUAAUAAAAUAAUCCAUCAAAAUCAAGUGUUUAGUUUACAUGAUAAAGUCUGUGAUUGAUAAUUAUUAAUUUGACUUGUAUCUAAUCACUCAAAUUAAUGAUUGUUUAAUUAUCACCUUAAAGUUGAGUGGAUUAUUUAAUCACUCCUCCAAUCCUAUCAAUCUUAUCUAUCACACCUACCAAAUCAAACGAGUGUUUAUUUUUCAAAAUUAAUUUAAAUAAAUAAAAAUAGUAGUAUAAAUUAUUUAUUAUUAUUAAGAUAGCUAGAUUAGAACUUUGAAAUAUCUUAAGAAAUACUUUUUAGAUGGUUUUAUUCGAUGAGUUCCCAAUCCUCAUUUUGAAGACAGAUUCUUAAUUAAUUGAGUGAUUUUGGACGACAUGAUCGUAUUGAAAUUCGUCCAAUUGUUUUUAUUCCUCACGUUAUUUGAUAACUCUAAGAAUAUCAUUAACACUUUCUUUUCGCAGGAAGAAGAAAAUAUCUAAGAAGAAAAAGUCAAACAAUUAAGCUUUUGCAGAUUCAAACUUAGAGUGCUUGUCAUAACAUGUAAGAAAACCUAAUCAGUUGAUGAAAAAGUUGUCGAAUUUCUUCCUAUUUUAAGAAAAUAUUCAUCAAGAAACGCCUUGUUUUGUAUAUAUAUUUUCUUUUCAUUCUUUCUCGUCUUAUCCAUCUACUUAUCAUAAUAGCUUUAAUAUCUUUCAGACAAGUGACGAGACAUGGCCUAGAUUAAAAAAAGGAGUUGUUGAUGAAAUUUGAGUAAACAAAAACUCUUUCGAGAAAAAUCUUUCGUAAUUGGAUGAAACAAAAAUUAUUGAUUAAGGUAACCUAUAUGGCAACAACAACACCCUUUUUUGGCAGUGACGAAUACCAAAAUAUUCAAUUACCAAGUUUCUUUUAGGGUAGUCCACAUGAUUUGCUAGCCUAAUUAAAGUAUUUAACAAAUGAGGUGGUGUAUAUCAUGUGAAAUAUAUACUCAACGCAAUAUUUACUUUUUAGGUGUAUACUACUCGCUUCAUUCCAUUAUUAAUGUCACGUAUUCUAUUUUGAAUUGUCCAAAAUUACAUGAUCUAUUUCUUUCCUGCUCCACCCGCGUCGCAAGCCUUUGCCACUGCCCUCACGCCCCCCACCGUCCCUACUCCAGCUCCCUCAACCUCGUGCCAGAUCUGUCCGCUGUCCACCUCAUCCGAGUCAAACCCUAGUAGCGGCGUGAUGCCUGCUUUGACCGCCGUCCACCCCAUCCUAGUGAAACCAUAAAAUUUUGCUAGAAGAAUAAGAAAUAGUGAUUUUUUUUUUUUGCAAAAGAAAGAAGAAAUUUUGUGUUGUUGUUGUGAGUAAUUUUUUUAUCUUUCUGUUGUGAGCAGGGAUGUCAAUCUAGCCCGAAACCCCUGGGCCGGCUCGAUUAACCCGCUAAUCCGGAAGGAUUAGAGCUAAAAAUUUUCAACUUGGUAGAAAUUACAACCCGACUAGCCCGUAACCGAAUAGUCUGGCUCCCGAUAGGAUCGAUCCGAAAUUAACUCGAAACCCUAUAAGGCUGACUCGAAAAUAAUGUGAUGCUUGAUUAUAUGAAAAUUUUCUUAUUAUAUGAUUUAACUUCAUUACUUAUGAAAAUUAGUAUAAUAAGAUAUAUUUUUUUCAAAAGUUUGUGAAAUGUAUUUUGAUUCAAUAUUAGAAAUUAUGUAUUAGAAAGUUAUACUCAUCAUUUCACUUCUUUGUAUUUUUAAUCCAAUACUUAACAUAAAAUGUUAGAUGUAAAAAUUAAAAAAUGGUACUCCUUCCGUCCCAAUAAUGAAGACUUCAUUUGGGCACGGAGAUUAAGGAUAGUUAGAUUAGGGAGUUAAGUGUAGAUUUUAAAUAUAUUUAAAUCCUAUUGACUUCAUUUUAAAGGGUAUUAAUUUUCUCUCCCCUCUGUAAUCAUACGCAACUUCUCACUCUCUCAUCUUCUCUCCCACCGUCUUCCUCUCUCUCCUCUGCUACAUCACCGUAGCACCGCUUCACUUCCUCGAAGGAAUCGCCGCCGGCCACCACCACCAACGUCCUUCUAUCUCCCUCACAAACCUAUUAUUCCUCUCCUAAAACUGAAUCGAAAAUAAAACUAAAAAACCGAUCUCCCAUUUAUGUUGUCAAAGUUUCGAUAAUAGAGAAAAACCCAUGAAAUUAUUGGUUUUGAUAGAGUAGAUUGAAGAUGAUUGGCAGAGAAUGGAGAAAUGAUAGGAUGAUUUUUGUGAUUGGUGAUGAAUGACGACACACAAUAGUGGUUCUCUCCUAAUGGACACAAUCUUAUAAAAUCAAAAAGUAGCACAAAAAACAGAUCUAAAAGAGAACCAGAACAACCAAAUUCUCAAACCCAAUUUCAAUUCCCAACAUAGAGCCUUCUCAUUUGAGGCCUAGGGUUUCAAAUCGUGGCAAUGGGGGGGGGGUGCGACCUCUCUGUUGAGUCAAGGAGUGAGAAGAGUGAGACGAAGAUUGUGGUUGUACAGUCGCUGAAAACCUGGAAAAGUGGCGACCGCGAUUUGGGACCUAAGGUUCCAGGCGACGGUGGUGGGGGUAGCGACCUCCGUGUGAAGUUCAACGACGCCUCCGCCGCCCUAGAACCAGAUCUGCCACUAUCUUCCUCGUCAGUGUGUGUGCGAGUGGUCAGAGGCUCGUCGAAGGGGCGGCGGGUUUUCGGUGGUCGGAGAGACGAGGGGUGCUCGGCGGUGGUCGUGGCUCGCCGGCGACGACUUGGCCGAGAAGGGGGAGAAGAGAAGGAGCGAGGUGAAGAGAGUGAGAGAUGUGUUCAGAAAUUAGAGGUUUUUUGUAACAUAUUCAUACAGUAAUUAAGGUGAAAUUAAUAGAUAUUCUUAAGCCCUAAUUAUUUCCUUAUUUAGAAGUGUGUCUUUAUUAUUGGGACAACCCAAUAAGGAAAGUGUGUCUUUAUUAUUGGGACGGAGGGAGUACUUAUUUACUUAUUUAAUAAAAAUAUCAUAUCUUUAUAUCUCUAAAACUUGCAUAUUAGUUAUAUAAGUCGAUGUUGAAAUGUUAUUUAUUACAAAUAUAAUAUUGUCAAAAAAAUAUGUACUCCCUCCGUCCACGAAAUGAGUACCCAUAUUUCCUUUUUCGUCCGUCCACGAAAUGAGUACCCAUUUCCCUUUUUGGCAAGUGUACCCCACACAUCUCUUUAAUUAAUACACUCAAAAAGUAGGACCCUUAAACUAUUCACACUACACUCCAUACAUUUCUUAAAACCCGUGCCGUCCACAAAUGGGUACUCAUUUCGUGGACGGAGGGAGUAUUAGUUAAUUUUUUUAAAAUAAAUUUUUGAGCCCGACUGAUGGGCUAGCCUGAAACCCGAAUAUUUAGGGUUAGGGUUGAAAUUUCUAAUCCAAUUUUUUUCCAAUCCAAUUAGUCUGCACCCGAAUAACUCGUAAUUCGAUAGGGCUAGCCCAAAAUUCGAUGGGUUGGCCUGAUUGAUAUCCCUAAUUGUGAGUAAAAUUUUGAUCUUUCUCAGAAAUUGUGUUAUUGUUGAUCUUGUUGAUCAAUAAAGUUUAAUAUUGCUUUUGAUCUUGAGAGAAUCCAUUCCAUAUUGUUGUCGAUCUUGUUGAGUAAAAUUUUAAUUAAUCACCUAAUGGAAUAUCAUUAUCCUUAAUUUUAUUCUCCUUAAUCUCCAUGCCGCAAAGGCAUGUGCCAUGAAUAACGAGACAGAUCAGAGAGAAUAGUCUGUAAUUAAAAAUACGAGUUUCAAUGGAGUUUCACUUUAAGCGGCAAUUUAAAAAUAAAAUUUUAAAAAUAAGUUCAUAUUUUGGAAGGGUUUAGAAUUUUUUAGUCGCGGGAAAAUGACUGAAAAUUCCGGUAGUUAAUAUUAUAUAUUUUUUAAAUAUUAUAUAUAUAUAUAUAUANAAAUUUUUUUUAACGACCGAAAUUUCGGUCGUUAAUAUCAAUUUUUAAAAUAUUUUUAAAAAUAAGUCGCUAAUACUUUUUUUUUAUUUUUUUUACUAUUCGAUUGUUAAUAUUUAUUUUUUUAUUUUUAAAUUAUUUUUAUAUUUUAUUCUUAUUUUAAAAUCAAUGAGAAUUUUUUAAAAUCGGUCGUUAUUUUUUAACAACAAUAUUAACUUUAAUUUGUAAAAAAAAUAGAUAAUUGCAUAUAAAUACACGAAUUUUGGCCAAAAUUUAUUUCUGACGCGUACUUAAAAAAAUUCAAUAAAAUACAUGAACUUUAGUUGUUGUUCAAUUUUUACUUCGAUUCAUUUUCCCCAAGUUAAAAAGUGACAUUGAGUCGAUAUGGCUUAUCAAACAUGACAUGGCGUCUACAUGGAGUGUAUGUGUCUCAUCGUGAUCAAAAUUCAACAACUAAUAAAGUUCAUGUAUUUUAUUGAACUUGUUUAAGUACAUGUCAAAAAUAAAUUUUGGUCAAAAUUGGUGUGUUUAGAUGCAAUUAACCCAAAAAUAAAAAAAUUAACGGUUGAGAGUAAAUUUUGAAGUGCAUAAUGAAACGAGUCAAGGGAUUUUUUAGGACAAUAACUUAUGUUAAUUUGGAAAUUAGGACAAAAACUUUCGGACUUGUAAAAAUAGGACACUAAUUUUUUUUUAGAGUAAAAUAGGACACUAAUUAAUAAACGUCGUAAAAAUGGGACAUUUCUCGACCGAUAAUUGGCCGAAAAAUAUCCUGCGGAUACAACACUUAUUUUAAAAUUCGUCGAGUGCAAAAUCAGAAAGAAUACAAAGUUCAAGCAUUUAAAGACAUAUUUUAAAAUUGAGGUGCAAAAUCAGAAAAUGAGAAAAAUUAUAAUAUUUACAGGUCAAUACCCAAAAAAAAUAAAUCAAUCUCUAAUCGGUCGCUAACAUCACAUUUUUAACAAUAAAAAAAUUGAUCUUUAAAUUCGAUCCUUAAUCACUAGAAGAAACAUCCUCAUUAAUGACUAAAUUUAGCAACCGAACUUUUUGUGUAUUCUUUAAAAUUUGGUCACAAUUAUUUUCAGAGACUAAGUCUCUGGGAAAACAGAGAAACCUAUCAAAGUAGAUAUUGUAAAUACAACGAUUUAUAUAUUUUGCUCAAAACAUUAAAUUCAAUUAUUGGUUAAUCAAGUAAUGUUUGGCUAAAUUUUAAAGAAUACUAAAAAAAAAAAAAAAAAAUAGUGUGGACCGAUUAGAGACAGGGACAUAUCCCGGGUAUCCAGCAAAAACUCGUGUGACGUGUAUUACACAGACUUGGAGCUUUCAAAAAAAAAAUAUUUGUCUUAAAUUCAGAAUAAAUGUUUUUUCGCCAUAUAAUGUUAUACUAGUAAAACAAGAAAAGAAUUAUUUUAUUCGAUCGUGAGUUGUAUUUCUCCUUAUGAAAGUGUAGUCUUAUUCCAUUCUGAUUGGGACGAGAGGUUUUGGGGCAUCUUAAGCAUGUCAAAAUGGGACCCCAAUUCCUUGCGUUUUGUGUAAUAUUUGUCUUGAGACAUGACAAUCUUGUUGGACGAUGGCGAGUGUACAUCUGGAUUAUACUAUACUAUUUUUUUUCAGAACCAAAUGGAUUAAAUGCAAUAUUUAUUCAAUUUAAUGUGAUUUUAUGCGGAUAAAGUAGAAAUUUAGAAUUUUGUGGUCUAGUAGCGAGUAGCUGUAGUUAUGUGCUCUAAUAACUAAAGAGAUCGUGAAAUUCGAAUUUUGUUAAAUUUCAGGUUGAGUGGAAUACAUUGUUUGUGAGAAUAGGAGAACCAUCAAAUCUAAUACAUUCACUGUAAAAAUUAAUGCAUUCGCUGUUAAAAUUAAUGCACUAAAAAAAUUAAAAAAAUAUGCUCCCUUCAGAAUUCGAACCCAGGUUCUAUAUAUAUAUAUAUAUAUAUAUGGGGCUGCUCGAAUGAGACCCCCUAAUUUUAGUGAGAUCUAGGGCACGAUUUGGUGCGUUUAUUUUAUCAAUCCUGUGGCUGAUAUUGUAUCUGGAGGGUGAUUUUUUUCCGCAGGGUUCGAAUCCUGGAGGGAGCAGAAUAUUUUAAAUUUUGUUAUUCAUAAGUAUAUACUGCAUUGUUCAUCGGUAUAUAUGUCUUAUUCAUUACGAAUUUUUUUUUUUAAAAAAAAUUUCAUCAGUAUAUACAUCUCGUUCAUUAGAUAUACGUUUUGUUCAUUAGUAUAAUAUGUCUUAUUCAUUGUACUCAUGUUACACGAAAAAUAGGGGGUCUCAUUGGAGCGCGCCCUAUAUAUAUGCUAAAUUCUAUAAAUAGUAUUUUUUUUCAAUCAUUUAUUAAUAUACCCAUAUUUAACUCUUUGAUUCUCAAUCAUUUAUUAAUGUACCCAUAUUAUAUGCUAAAUUCUAUCAAUAAUAUUCACCCUAUUUUAGAACUUGUGCUCUGAGUUCAGUCUUUUUCUUUUUUAGAACUGUUGUGUGAUUUUGGCACCAUCAAAAAGGGAAAAAUUGUUGGGAACUUAAUGAAAUAUCCUAAUCCUUGUUUUGGUGAUCCCAAAAUCAAUAGGUUUCUUUUGUAAUAGACUAGAACUGCUUGAACUCAAGUGUUAGAGUUCUUUUUCUAGUUUAGCUUGUUGUUCUGAAGACUGAAGACUGGAGAACGAAGGACUGAAGACUGAAGUUGCCGACUGAAGCAACAGUCGAAGAAUCAGUUUUGAACUGAUUACUUAAUGCGUGCCACUGGAAUUAGCGGACUGAUACUAAAGUCAAGUAUCAGUUAAACAUUCUUCCUCGGACUGAACCUCCAACGUUCAAAGAAAGCCACGCACUCCAGAAGUACAGCCGCAUUAAAUGCAGAGAUCUCAGGAUCGUCCUUUCUCUGCAAAGGUCAUUCCUCUUGGUGAUUACUUUUUCAGAGAUGUCGCAUCUCUGCUCUUCAAGAUAGCGUUCUCACCAAAUAAGGAACCUCGAAAUUGAAGCUCAGUCCAAGUUCAAAUUACUCUCUAACGGAAGAAAUCUUGAAGACCUUCUCCGCCAACGGAUCUAUUCAAGACUUCUCCUUUAAAUAGCGCUCGAGGAUCACUUCAAUCUUCACCGAUUCAACGACAUAAGCUGAAACUCUGCCGAAAUUGUUUCUCAGCCUAAGCCCAGACUCUCAAAAGUUUGAAUCGAAGAAGAGAAUCCCAAAGCCAAAAAUCAGUCACUGCUGAUUACAUAAAUUCUCUUAGACCUUAGGCAAACCUCGUUUAUCCAAAGCCUAGGUCAAACUAACUGCAAAUAACUUGNUUUUUGAAGUUUAGUUGGCAAGUUUUUCAAACCUCCCUUCGACCGACAGAAUCGAGUGUUUGAGUUGUAAAGGAGUUCAGGAAGGUACUCUGUCUCCGUGAGAUCCUAGUGCCCAGUGCGUGCUAGGAGUGAGAAAUCCAACAAGGUGUGUCGGUACUGAAGAUUGGAUCUUCAGUUGUUUCGGUUGUGUGCACCCGCAAGCACACGUUCAGGUUUGCUAUGCACCCGUAAGCACGAGCAUCGGUUUGCAGUGCACCCGUAAGCACUUGCAGAGUGAAGUUGUUGAUCUAAUCAACCGACCGUGGAUGUAGGAAGUGUUUUCCGAACCACGUAAAAAUUUCUGUGUUAUUUACAGCUUUCAGUAUUUACGUUCUUACUUGUGCUCUUCCUUUUGUAAACUGAAAACUGAUUAAUUGCAAAGAGAAAGUUAAGACUAACAACGUGCUCAACUCAAAGGCUAUUACGGAACAAAAAGUUUUCUGCUGCGUGUGUUAUCAGUCUGACUGAUAUAUCUUCUGAUAGUCUGUAAGAUUCAUAACAUCUCUGUUUAUCAAACUCGACUGAAGCCUUACAUGCAUCAGUUAAGUUCUUUUGAGUUAACUGAUAACUCCUUACUGAAGAGCUUUCAGUAUCAGUCGUCAACCCUAUUUUGGUCAAAACUCUUUUCAGUAAACAGGUGUCUGUGUUUGUGUUUAAAGUUUCGUUUUGAUCUCUGUGUUAAGAUCGAAAAAUAGCCUAUAGGUGUAUUCCCCCCCCUAUACACCUACUCGAGACCCUCCGGACCUAACAAUUGUUCAAUAUGACUAUCUCAAAAGUUGGCUCAUAUACUCCCCCGUCUCAAUGAUAAUGACUCAUUUUCUUUUUUAGUUUGUCCCAUUGAUAAUGGCCUGUUUCAUAAAAGGAAACCAUCUUCUCUCACAAAUAAGUGUGCGCUCCACAACUUUCUAUCACUUUUAUCCUUAAAUCACUCUUCUUCUUAAUAAUCAUGCCCCAAAGUAAUGAGCCAUUAUCAAUGAAAUGGAGGGAGUAUUAAAGUAGAGAAAUAGAAUAUUAUUUAAUUACCGAAAUUCUUUAUCAUUUUUAGGGUAAAUGAACUACCAACCAAACAUAUCGUUUUAAGGGCAUUUUUGUCAGUUCAUUCUCUUCCAUUGUUAGACCAUCUGCAACCUCCUAUAUUUUAUCUCCAAUCUCUAUUUCAGAGGUUAUUUUGUUGCACUUUAUUAUUAUUAUUAUUAUUAUUAUUAUUAUUAUUAUUAUUAUUAUUAUUAUUAUUAUUAUUAUUAUAAAUAGACUUAAUUAAAAAGUAAUCUAUAAUAUUUAAUCUAUUCCGUAAAAAAAUAGACUAAUUAAAAAAGUAUCUAUUGAAAAAAAAUUGUUACUCCCUCCGUCCCAUUGGGCUUGUCCCAUUUGGUUUCAGCACGGUUAUUAAGGAGAAUAUUAUUAGUGUUACCUAUCCAAUUGCAUAUAUCGCACAUACAAAAAGCAGCAAACGUGCAACACAAAGUAUCAACGAAAGUAACGACACUGAACACAAGAGUUGUUCACCCAGUUCGGUUAAACAACCUACGUCUGGGGGGCCACGCCCAGGGUAAAUUAUCCACUAGUGAAGAUAAGAUAUUUACAGGACUUAUGCGACAGACUCUCUAGCCUUCUAGCCUCAAUAUCUUCCCAAACCCUCACAACGAUGAAUAAUUGAGAGAAGAACGACAAUCAACUCUCUAAGCGUGAAUACUACACAUUCACCACCUAAACCCAUGAAAAUAUCAUCCACCAACAGGCUGGAGAAAGCAACAAACGAAUAAGAAAAUACUACCCCAACAGAUUGCUCAAUAAACCCACGAAAAAGCAAUCGAACAAGAUCACACACACUCACGAAAUUGUAUGAUCUGAAACCCACGAAAUUACUCUCCAAUAUGUAGAAGAAUAUCAAUGAAAUCAGCCACCAAAAACGUCCUCCUUCUCUUCCUUAAAUAGACAAACCCUAGAAAGAGUUAUAUCUUGAGUAGAACUCUAAUAACGAUGAUAUACUCAAUCUAUAAUUAUAAUCCCUCAAUAUUUCGAGCAUAUUGCUGAUAUAAUGUGAGAUAUAUCCAUAAGAGACGUGAUAUACUCAAACACUAAUAAGCUGGAAAAUCGCAAAGCUGCUGCUGGAAACCUGCACAAGAAAGUAUCAGCCAAAGUACCAGACACUGAAUGGUACUUUGCUUGUAAUCGUAUCUGAACAUCCUGAGAUACUUCUGGUACAUUGUCUACAUAAUGACAACAAAACUUAGAGUAUAAAAAUACUCUAACAGUAAUAAAAAUAUAAAAUUGAUAAAGUAGGAGAUGUAAGGUGAUAAAGUAGGAAAGAGAAUGUAAUAAAGUGAUAAAGUAGGAGAGAUAAGAUGAUAAAGUAGGAAAAAGAAUGUGAAAGAGUGAUAAAGUAUGAGAGAGAAUGUAAUUAAGAAUUAUUAUUGUUUAGUUAAUUGUUGUCAUUUAUAGAAAUGGGACAAGAUCGCGGGACAAACAAAAAAGGAAUACGGGACAAGAUCAAUGGGACGGAAGGAGUAUAUAAUAGAUCAGAUGAUUAGAGACGAAAUUAAAAAAAUGCGUUAUUUUAGUGUUAAAAUUAUUAUUAUUAUUAUUAUUAUUAUUAUUAUUAUUAUUAAUUGUAGUGUUUAUUUUGCAUUAAUUAUAAUAUAUUUAAUCUAUUAAUAAAAAAAUAGACUAAUUAAAAAAGUAUCUAUUGAAAAAAAAUUGUUGUAUAAUAGAUCAGAUGAUUAGAGACGAAAUUAAAAAACUGCGUUAUUUUAGUGUUAAAAUUGUUGUAUUAUUGUGCUGAGCAUUGGAGAUGCUCUUAGAGAGUUUCUCAUCCCCGACCCAUACCUUCUCUGUCUUUUUGUUUUUAUUUUCACUUGCAAAUCAUACCAGAAAAGCAAAUCAUAUUUAAAAAAAAAUUAUUUGUGAUAAAUUUGAACUUAUAAAAACGUUAAUGCAAUUUAAACCUCAUGUUUUUCACUUAAAAUUACAAAAUAUUGGCUCAAACCGUCAAUGGGUUAUACUUGAGACGGAAUGACCAUUUUCAGCCGUUACCGCCGGUUAUAAUAACACUUGAUUGUGUUCACACAUAAUUAAUACUUGAAAAUAAAUACUCUCUCGAUUUUUAAAAUAAGUCUCAUAUUACAGAGUUUUUUUUUUUAAUCCCCUUUUAAGUGUCAUAUUAUAUAAUCUUAUAGUAUAAUUGAGUUCAAUUUUCAAUUUUACUCAUGUCUUAAUAUUAGAAACUAAUACAUUCUCCUCAUUCUUCACACAAUAGAGAGAGAAG